rnacentral:rRNA from 1 species
GACGAACGCUGGCGGCGUGCUUAACACAUGCAAGUCGAACGGAAAGGCCCUGCUUUUGUGGGGUGCUCGAGUGGCGAACGGGUGAGUAACACGUGAGUAACCUGCCCUUGACUUUGGGAUAACUUCAGGAAACUGGGGCUAAUACCGGAUAGGAGCUCCUGCUGCAUGGUGGGGGUUGGAAAGUUUCGGCGGUUGGGGAUGGACUCGCGGCUUAUCAGCUUGUUGGUGGGGUAGUGGCUUACCAAGGCUUUGACGGGUAGCCGGCCUGAGAGGGUGACCGGCCACAUUGGGACUGAGAUACGGCCCAGACUCCUAUGGGAGGCAGCAGUGGGGAAUAUUGCACAAUGGGAGGAAGCCUGAUGCAGCAACGCCGCGUGCGGGAUGACGGCCUUCGGGUUGUAAACCGCUUUCGCCUGUGACGAAGCGUGAGUGACGGUAAUGGGUAAAGAAGCACCGGCUAACUACGUG